rnacentral:rRNA from 1 species
UACGUAGGUGGCAAGCGUUGUCCGGAAUUAUUGGGCGUAAAGCGCGCGCAGGUGGUUUCUUAAGUCUGAUGUGAAAGCCCACGGCUCAACCGUGGAGGGUCAUUGGAAACUGGGGAACUUGAGUGCAGGAGAGAAGAGUGGAAUUCCACGUGUAGCGGUGAAAUGCGUAGAGAUGUGGAGGAACACCAGUGGCGAAGGCGACUCUUUGGCCUGUAACUGACACUGAGGCGCGAAAGCGUGGGGAGCGAUCCGG